rnacentral:rRNA from 1 species
GUUGAACGCUGGCGGCAUGCCUUACACAUGCAAGUCGAACGGCAGCACGGGUGCUUGCACCUGGUGGCGAGUGGCGAACGGGUGAGUAAUAUAUCGGAACGUACCUUAUUGUGGGGGAUAACGCAGCGAAAGCUGUGCUAAUACCGCAUAAUCCCUAUGGGGGAAAGCGGGGGACCGUAAGGCCUCGCGAAAUUAGAGCGGCCGAUACCUGAUUAGCUAGUUGGUGAGGUAAAGGCUCACCAAGGCAACGAUCAGUAGCUGGUCUGAGAGGACGAUCAGCCACACUGGGACUGAGACACGGCCCAGACUCCUACGGGAGGCAGCAGUGGGGAAUUUUGGACAAUGGGGGCAACCCUGAUCCAGCAAUGCCGCGUGAGUGAAGAAGGCCUUCGGGUUGUAAAGCUCUUUUGUCAGGGAAGAAACAGCAGCUCUAACACAGUUUGCGAAUGACGGUACCUGAAGAAUAAGCACCGGCUAACUACGUGCCAGCCGCCGCGGUAA